GUGCCAGCCGCCGCGGUAAUACGAAGGGGACUAGCGUUGCUCGGAAUUACUGGGCGUAAAGGGCGCGUAGGCGGACAGUUUAGUCAGAGGUGAAAGCCCAGGGCUCAACCUUGGAAUUGCCUUUGAUACUGACUGUCUUGAGUACGGGAGAGGUGAGUGGAACUCCGAGUGUAGAGGUGAAAUUCGUAGAUAUUCGGAAGAACACCAGUGGCGAAGGCGACUCACUGGCCCGUUACUGACGCUGAGGCGCGAAAGCGUGGGGAGCAAACAGGAUUAGAAACCCGAGUAGUCC
rnacentral:rRNA from 1 species